CUAGAUAAACAAAAUAUAUGCGUACUUCCACGAACUAUCUCACCAAAGUAUUUAAAAAUAGGACAUCCAAAUUUGAUAUUUAUAUCGUCGAAUUUACUUGGCACAGUUACAUCUUAUCAAAUUAAAUUGCUCGCUCAACAGAUCUCAAACAUGUGUUCAGAAUAUUCUGUCACAAAUGUAAAUUAUAACCAUGGGUUGAAAAUAAGAGUUUAGGUAUGUUUUCCUUUUACAAAAUUAUAAACGAAUGCCGAUGAUUGAUGCGAAAACGAAGGAAUAUUUAGGAACAGAAAUAAAACGCAAAUUGAUGAAAGGUAAAGUAUAUUAACUUUGAUUAAUACUCACACACAUACACACACUGUGUUAUUUCUGAAAUUGUAUUAUAGUUUAAAAAAUAUUAGCAUAUACUGGUGAAUUAGAAAGUUUAGUAUACCCAUCAACUUGGACAAGGUUUGCCUUAACGAAUACGUAAAAUAUGUUCUUUAUGAAACAGAAACUCUAUAUUUGGAAGAGUUACAACAGAAAGUAGAAGGACCGUCAGUAUUCGAAUUAUUUCGGAAAACAUAUUUUUUUAUUGUAAAAACAAAAGUAUACAAACUCAAAAUUGGAAAGAAGAUGUGACAACUUGCUUUGAUGAAGAAAUUGAGGUUCCGUUAGAUGCGUUUGGGUAUCAAAAAUCGAUACGAACCCAUAGUUGAUGUUGCCUCUACUUAUAAUGUCAUGCACUCUAUUUUCUACGCCAAAGUAUAUAUAUACUUUACGUAUUCCAUAUUUAAAGAUUUAUACGACUGGGAAGAAAAGCAUCUAAUAACGACCGAAAUAUAUAUAGAUGCUACAAAACAAUGUUCUCUCAUGAAACACGGGAAAAAAUAAAUUCAAUUCUGCAUCUAAAUUGACACACAUCAACAUAACGUACCAAAUCACCUUUCUUAUUUAUAAAGUAAUAAGUCAAUAUGAACUAACAUACAAGGUCUAAAGAUUGAAAACGAGUUGGUGCGCAACAAAAUAUGAUGACAAUUCUUAUUCACCAAAAAUAUUUAAAUUUGUGAAAAAAAUUAAUUAUCGGGA